AUAUUAAUAUUGAAAUAAUAUAACAAAAAUUAUUAAAUAUUAAAUCAAAAUAGAAAAAAAAAUUCAAGCUUUAAAUAUAAUUGCAUUUCAUAACACAAAAUAUAAUUUCAAAUGCAACAUAUAUUAAGACACUAAAUCCUAAUUGAAAUUUAGAAAAGUUCAUAAAUUAAAAAUGUAGUAAAAAAAGAAAAAAAGUGGCUACUUUGAAUCGAUUUCAAUUUUUCCUUCGCUUUUUCUUUUUGCUUUUGGUGUAGCUAUCUUCAUCUUCUUCGAUAGUCUUUGUGAUGUCAAAAUCACCUAACAAUCUACAUUCCAUAUUCUCCAGUUUUAUAGCUGAAUCCUCCAAAUAUGAAAUUAUGAAAUUUCUAGAUUCAUAUCCCAUCUUUUAUGAGGUCCUGUUAUAUAAUUCUCAAAGAAGCAAGAUUGAAGGUGAAUGAUAGAGUGAAUAAAUACUAAUUUGUCCGCCCUUAUACAUUUUAACUUGUUUCUCUUAACAUUAUGAAUAUAAAAGUAUGUACUCCAAUUUCUUUCAAUUGAAAAGCUACUAAUUGAUUGAGAUAAUACAUUUUCUGUUGCCUCUCCUAGUUUUGGAGUUUCAGACCCACAUGUUGACCACCAAUCAAUUAAAUCCAUUAGUACAACAUUAAUUUGAGCUGCCAGCAUGCUAUACAUCCCUUUUUUUUCAUAUGAAAAAUUGCAAAUUAUUCACAUAAAAGCUUUUGUUCUGUCCAUUUUUUGCUAUCCUUUCAAAAGCACCCAUACACCUAAAACAACUUAUUUAUCAAGAUUUGAAGCCCUUCUACAUGUUUCUAAGUAGCGAUGAUUAUAAAAUCUGGAUGUGAGAGCAAAACCAAGAUAAUGCAUUGGAAUAUUCAUCUUCCCCUACCUUUCUAAUAUAAUAGCUUCCAUUUGUUCAUAACUAUCUUUAUAUUUGUUAUUUGUCAUUAUAUCCUUUAAUUCUCCAAGCAUGCUAUCCAUUUUUUUAUAAAUCUCUCCUAGCUUUGGGCCUUCACUAUCACUAAACUUAAUCAACAAAUACAAUGGCUUAGUUAUAGCUACUAUAUUUUCUACUUCCUCCCAAAAUUCAUCAUCACUAAUUGUUUCAGCAACUAAUGCACCCAUUGUCUUCAUUUUCUCAUCCCCAUUUUUUGUCCACUCCUUCCAUGAUUUAAGAACAAUAGUGGUUGCAAGAGCCUCUCUACAACUAACAACCUUUUCAACAAGAUGUAAUGUGAAGCAAAUCUAGUUUUUUCUACUUUUAGCAAUCCUAACUUUGAUUGUGUUCUAAAGAUGGAUAAUGCUUGUGUGUGAUUGAUAAAGUAUUUCACAAUGCAUUUUCCUCUUUUAUAAGUAUCAUUUAACCAAUCAAACUUUUGAGCAAAAUCCUUGAAAAUUGGGUUGAGAGUAUGAACAACACAAGAAGACCAAAAAAUGUGUUUAUAUACCUUCUCUAUCUCCUUUCCUGCAGCUUUGCAAUUUGAUGCAUUAUCAGUAAUUACUUGAAGAACAUUAGAAGGCCCUACUUCUUCAAUAGCCUUGAGUAAGUAUUCAGCUAUAGCA
rnacentral:misc_RNA from 1 species